rnacentral:rRNA from 1 species
UGAGGAAUAUUGGUCAAUGGGCGAGAGCCUGAACCAGCCAAGUAGCGUGCAGGAUGACGGCCCUAUGGGUUGUAAACUGCUUUUAUGCGGGGAUAAAGUGCGUGACGUGUCAUGCAUUGCAGGUACCGCAUGAAUAAGGACCGGCUAAUUCCGUGCCAGCAGCCGCGGUAAUACGGAAGGUCCGGGCGUUAUCCGGAUUUAUUGGGUUUAAAGGGAGCGUAGGCCGCCAGAUAAGCGUGUUGUGAAAUGUACCGGCUCAACCGGUGAAUUGAAGCGCGAACUGUUUGGCUUGAGUGCACGGUAAGCAGGCGGAAUUCAUGGUGUAGCGGUGAAAUGCUUAGAUAUCAUGAGGAACUCCGAUUGCGAAGGCAGCUUGCUGCAGUGCGACUGACGCUGAUGCUCGAAGGUGCGGGUAUCAAACAGG